UCGAUGCCUAAACAUCAAACGACCCGCGAACGCGUUCACGAACUUUCUGUGCCUGGGGGGGAGCAUCGUCUUGCACGCACGCACCCUCCCGGCGCCUCAACAAAACCCCGGCGCAGGUCGCGCCAAGGAACUCAAACGAAUUCGCCCGCCCCCCGCCCCGCCUCGGUGUGCGGAGGGCGGAGCAUUCUUGUCGUAUUAUUCACAACGACUCUCGGCAACGGAUAUCUCGGCUCUSGCAUCGAUGAAGAACGUAGCGAAAUGCGAUACUUGGUGUGAAUUGCAGGAUCCCGCGAACCACCGAGUCUUUGAACGCAAGUUGCGCCCGGAGCCUUCUGGCCGAGGGCACGUCUGCCUGGGCGUCACGCAUCGCUGACGCAACCCCCCUUCGGGUUGGUUGCGCAGGUGCGGGCACACGCUGGCCUCCCGUGCGCACCGUCGUGCGGAUGGCUUAAAUUCGAGUCCUCGGCGCCUGUCGUCGCGACACUACGGUGGUUGAUCCAACCUCGGUACCGCGUCGCGACCUCAGUCCGCGCAACUCCUCCCCGCGAGCGAGCGAGGACUUCUAUGUCGACCCUCUGAACGUCGUCCCCAAAGACGAUGCUCUCGACGCGACCCC
rnacentral:misc_RNA from 1 species